rnacentral:lncRNA from 1 species
AACACAAUCCAAACAUUCAAUUAUGAUCAAACGAUCAAACAACAUUUUAAUCACAGAUUUUGACUAUACACUUCUCGAUAAUUAAAAGAGAAAGUGCUCAAACCACUUUAAACCAAGCUAAACCAAGCCUUGGUAUGAAAAAUCCAAAUCGAUUAAAUAAUAUUUUAAUCAGAUAAUGCACUUCUCGAUAAUUAAGAUGAGAACGUGCCCAAGCCAAUCAAAACCAAGCUAAACCAAGCCUUGGUCUGCGAAAUCCAAACCAAAAAAUUGCAGGUUUCGGAUGGAAGAAAAGGAAUUGCAGGUUUUGUUGCAGCAUUUAAAAUCAAUAGCGAGUAAAUCAAAAUGAAAUCUGCAAGUCAUGAUAAAAUAGAAUCUCAAUUCAAGUCUGUAUCAAAUUCAAGUUUCGCAAAAUCAAAAAUCAAAACCUUUUAACAAGUUUAUUUUAUAAUCGAUCACUCUUUCUUAUUAGAAUAGAAAAUAAUCAUUGCAUAUAAAAUGCAGCUCUUGUUCACGGUUUCAAGUCUGUGAGAACGAACCACAAAGCGUCGAU